rnacentral:rRNA from 1 species
UCUGAUCCAGCCAUGCCGCGUGCAGGAAGAAUGCCCUAUGGGUAGUAAACUGCUUUUAUACGGGAAGAAAAAGGGCCACGUGUGGCCUGUUGACGGUACCGUAAGAAUAAGGACCGGCUAACUCCGUGCCAGCAGCCGCGGUAAUACGGAGGGUCCGAGCGUUAUCCGGAAUUAUUGGGUUUAAAGGGUCCGUAGGCGGGCCGAUAAGUCAGUGGUGAAAGUCUGCAGCUCAACUGUAGAAUUGCCUUUGAUACUGAUGGUCUUGAGUUAUAGUGAAGUUGCCGGAAUAUGUAGUGUAGCGGUGAAAUGCAUAGAUAUUACAUAGAACACCGAUUGCGAAGGCAGA